rnacentral:rRNA from 1 species
GACGAACGCUGGCGGCGUGCCUAACACAUGCAAGUCGAACGGAACGGCCCUGCUUUUGUGGGGUGCUCGAGUGGCGAACGGGUGACUAACCCGUGAGUUACCUGCACCUGACUUUGGGUUAACCUCAGGACACUGGGGCUAAUCCCGGAUAGGAGCUCCUGCUGCUUGGUGGGGGUUGGACUGUUUCGGCGGUUGGGGAUGGAAGCGCGCCCCAUCAGCUUGUUGGUGGGGUAGUGGCUUACCAAGGCUUUGACGGGUAGCGGGCCUGGGCGGGUGAGCGGCCACGCUGGGCCGGAGAUACGGCCCGGACCCCAACGGGAGGGAGCGGUGGAGAAGAGUGCACAGUGGGCGGAGGCCUAGUGCAGCGACGCCGCGUGGGGGAAAAGGGGCAGCGGUUUGUAAUGCGCUUUCGCCUGUGACGAAGCGUGAAUGACGGUAAUGGGUGAAGAAGCACCGGCUAACUACGUG